rnacentral:lncRNA from 1 species
AUGAGCGAUUCCUGCGCGGGGCGCUGCUCAGCGCCGCUCUCGGGUGCGCGGUGGCCCGGGUACCUCCUGGCUUCAAACAGAGCCCUGUGGCUGUCGCUCUUGGGACUGACUGUUGUUCGUUCUCAGCGUGCCAACGUCUGUAUUGGAUGGAGCAAAUGGCGCAGGGACAGCCGGAAGGAGCGGCUCGGUGGCACAAAGCACUGCAGCUACGCACUGCGCUGGAGCUGCUGUACUCUGGACUCACAAAAGCCACAGCACCAUCCUCUUAGUACCUCUCCCCCAGACAUUUACCCAGACUGCUCUGCCUCUUUCAGAGGAGAAAGAGCACAGUUUUCAUGCAUAUUCUCUGCGCUUCAGAAUGGGGCCUGCGCUUUGCCCACGCCGGCUCCAGCACGUGCAGGCUCCUGCAGGUUUGGGAACUGCACAGCUGUUCAUUGCUGUCGCGGAGCAAUGCCUAAAGCCCUUCAAAAAGCAAAGCUCCCAGCACCUUUGCUGCCUGUUUGGAUACCUCCAUUUCCAGCUGCUGGUGACACGUUUCCCGUGGGCUGCUCAGACACGAGGUGCCCCUUGGUGUGAGGAGCUCUGUGCAGCUGGUAUGCGCUGCCCGGACCUGCAGCGAGGACCAACACUUCCCCCAGCACGGGGCGGCCUGCAGAGACAUGGCAGCACUCCGAGGCGUGGAGGAAAGGUUGGCCUGGGGAGAUCCAUCAGCAGCAAUAGCAUGUUCAUCACUCAGCAGGUUUUAAUAACUGUAAUCACUGUUAGCAUGUUGUGCUGAAGACCAAAGCUAAUGAAGUCUCCACGCACACAGGGCAUGAAGUGCUCCAGACCCAAGCACUGUGUAGGGACGCAGGGGCUGCCGACCUCUGCUCUGCUCCUGCUGCUUUCCCCAGGGCACAAAGUGGCAGUGAGCAGCAUCAGUAAAAUGCCGAGACUGGAAGCGGUGCCUGCAGCUGUGCCUGCUGCUCAGCACGUUUUCCACGCACAACUCCACCAAAGCUUCUGGGAGCGGCAUACA